GAGUUUGAACCUGGCUCAGGAUGAACGCUGGCGGCGUGCCUAACACAUGCAAGUCGAACGAAGCGCUUUUUUGGAAGCUUUUCGGAGCGGAAGAGGAAGUGACUGAGUGGCGGACGGGCGAGUAACGCGUGGGCAACCUACCCCACACAGGGGGACAACAGCUGGAAACGGCUGCUAAUACCGCAUAGGCGCACAGCUUCGCAUGAAGGAGUGUGGAAAGCAAUGGCGGUGUGGGAUGGGCCCGCGUCUGAUUAGCUGGUUGGUGAGGCAGAGGCUCACCAAGGCGACGAUCAGUAGCCGGCCUGAGAGGGCGGACGGCCACAUUGGGACUGAGACACGGCCCAGACUCCUACGGGAGGCAGCAGUGGGGGAUAUUGCACAAUGGGGGGAACCCUGAUGCAGCGACGCCGCGUGAGCGAAGAAGUAUUUCGGUAUGUAAAGCUCUAUCAGCAGGGAAGAAAAUGACGGUACCUGAGUAAGAAGCCCCGGCUAAAUACGUG
rnacentral:rRNA from 1 species